rnacentral:lncRNA from 1 species
AAUCUAGUACUUGUCAUUUCUUCUUCAACUUCUUGUUUAGAUUUCUUGUUUGUAUUUUUGGUCCGUGACAGUUUGUCGAGACUACCUUUAUCUUAAUAUCAGAGCUGAAUCCUUCUUGUUUGAGAGCGGAUUACCCCUCUUCUUAAAGGUAUUCUAGCGCUUUAGGGGUUGCGGAUUACCUUCCUCUAAACUGAUAUUUUCUCAAUCACAAUAUCAG